rnacentral:miRNA from 11 species
UGUGUAUGUAUAUGUGUGUGUGUGUGUGGCUGGAGUUACACUUAAAAUAUGUACGUGUGUGUGUGUGUAUACAUAUGUGUGUGUAUGUAUAUGUGUGUGUGUGUGUGUUUAU